AUUAAUCUAUUAAAAAAUACUACUAUGGUUUGCACUAGGAUGCGAAAGAAAAUCCCUGCGCUUUCUGUCUGUCUUUGUGGCAGCCCAGAUGAAUUGUGGAAUACAUCU
rnacentral:snoRNA from 1 species